AUUGAACGCUGGCGGCAGGCCUAACACAUGCAAGUCGAGCGAGCGGCGGACGGGUGAGUAAUGUCUGGGAAACUGCCUGAUGGAGGGGGAUAACUACUGGAAACGGUAGCUAAUACCGCACACCAUCAGAUGUGCCCAGAUGGGAUGAGCUAGUAGGUGGGGUAACGGACCACCUAGGCGACGAUCCCUAGCUGGUCUGAGAGGAUGACCAGGCACACUGGAACGGAAACACGGUCCAGACUACUACGGGAGGCAGCAGUGGGGAAUAUUACACAGUGGGAGGAAGCCUGAUGCAGCCAUGCCGCGUGUAGGAAGAAGGCCUUCGGGUUGGAAAGUACUUUCAGCGGGGAGGCGUUACCCGCAGAAGAAGCACCGGCUAACUCCGUGCCAGCAGCCGCGGUAAUUC
rnacentral:rRNA from 1 species